UUCCUGUCGAUGUUGAGGGCGUGGGGGCGGGGCGGCCACAGUGCGCCCCUUCAUUGUGUUUAGACAGGAGGAGAGCGGCAUGCCAGCCUGGCGUCCCCGCUCGGCCCCUUCCACGACUCGCAGCGAGAGAGAGAGAGGUCGAGGUGCGGUGGUCUUGUGGCGGAAGCCUGAAGGAGGCGGUGAAGGAGUGAAGGUGUGAAGUGUGUGGCUUCCACUUCACCAUCCUAUGAACAGCCUGCAGGAAUCUCUAUCAACACCUGCUUCUGCAAUAUUGGCAUCUGGUUAUCAAAUAGUGCUGUCACACUGGGCCUGACAUACUCCAUUGCAAUUGGGGAAUCAAGCUUCACCAGGAAGAGAGGCCGAGCAUCACGACCUUCAAGCCUUCAAGCCCUACAAGAGGUGUUAAGUAUUGUCAGGACAAAACAGAGGGCCUGGUACAAGAGUUUUCAUUGCAAUCAAGGAAGAGUCAAGUUGCAGUAAGAAGAGUGUGGCAAGAAUUUUAAGCAGGAGGAAGACUGUCAAGCAGUUGACGGCAGGAAGAACGCGUGAAAUUCCCUUAAGUCGUGGCAGGACCAACAGGCAACCUUCAACACCUGCAGAGGCACAAGAGUUGUGGGCAGUUUCACCAGGAAGAGUUUGCUCCUCACUCAAGUUGACACAAAGACACAAGAAUUUGCAAGUGUUGUUACUCCGAGACCCUGCUGCAAAUGUUCUCCAAUCCACUCCAGUCUGGGAAGGAAGAAUGUAGGAAGUCCCUCUCUUCUGUACUCAACAAGCACCACCACCACCACCACCUUCAUUCAGGCUUGGGACAAGUUUUGUACAUUCCAGCACUUCAGUAUUAAAGAAAAGUGCCAUGUUUAUUA